rnacentral:rRNA from 1 species
UACGAAGGGGGCUAGCGUUGCUCGGAUUGACUGGGCGUAAAGGGCGCGUAGGCGGUUCGUACAGUCAGACGUGAAAUUCCUGGGCUCAACCUGGGGGCUGCGUUUGAUACGUGCGGACUUGAGUGCGGAAGAGGGUCGUGGAAUUCCCAGUGUAGAGGUGAAAUUCGUAGAUAUUGGGAAGAACACCGGUGGCGAAGGCGGCGACCUGGUCCGAUACUGACGCUGAGGCGCGAAAGCCAGGGGAGCAAACGGG